rnacentral:rRNA from 1 species
GACGGAGGAUGCAAGUGUUAUCCGGAAUCACUGGGCGUAAAGCGUCUGUAGGUGGUUCGAAAAGUCCACUGUUAAAAAUUGAGGCUUAACUUCAAAGAUGCCGUGGAAACUUUCAAACUAGAGUAUGGUAGGGGUAGAGGGAAUUUCCAGUGGAGCGGUGAAAUGCGUAGAGAUCGGGAGGAACACCUGUGGCGAAGGCGGCCCCCUGGGCCGGCCCUGACACUGAGACGCGAAGGCGUGGGGAGCGAACGGG